rnacentral:misc_RNA from 1 species
GAAAUGCGAUACUUAAUGUGAAUUGCAGAAUUCCGUGAAUCAUCGAGUUUUUGAACGCAUAUUGCGCCCGAGGCUUCGGCCGAGGGCAUGCCUGCCUCAGCGUCGGUUGACCCCUCUCGACCGCCCUCCUCACCGAGGGCGGUCGGACCUGGCAGUCCCGCUGGAGACAGCGGGUCUGCUGCAGACCAGACGACUUGCAGCCUCGCUUACGCAAAGGCCGCUGGAUUGGUAGGUAACCCCUAGCAGGGUACAUGCCCAUCGAGUGGCUGGGCCUGACAACUGCAGGUUUCGACCACAAGUCGGCCCGGGUCACUCACCCGGGCCGUCUCUCUCAGUUCGACCUGAGUUCAGGCAAGACCACCCGCUCAACUUAA